AGGAAAUAGAUCCCCGGUAGUCCACGCUGUAAACGAUGAGUGCUGGACGUUGGCGGGUUUACCUGCCGGUGUCGCAGCUAAACGCGUUAAGCACUCCGCCUGGGGAGUACGGCCGCAAGGUUAAAACUCAAAGGAAUUGACGGGGCCCGGCACAAGCGGUGGAGCAUGUGGUUUAAUUCGACGCAACGCGCAGAACCUUACCAGCCCUUGACAUGGGCGGACGGGGUCCGAGAGAUGGACUCUUUCUUCGCAGAGACCGCUACACAGGUGCUGCAUGGCGUGUCGUCAGCUCGUGUCGUGAGAUGUUGGGUUAAGUCCCGCAACGAGUCGCAA
rnacentral:rRNA from 1 species